rnacentral:rRNA from 1 species
GUGCGCAACCUUGGAGCGGAGGGUACACCCGAUCCCAUUUUGAACUCGGUAGUUAAGCUCCGCAUCACUGAACGUUAAGUGGCGUCAGGUCAUGGGAGAAUAGAAUGCCCAUC